AUUCCAGCUCCAAUAGCGUAUACUAAAGUUGUUGCAGUUAAAAAGCUCGUAGUUGAAUUUCUGGUCUCGGACAGCGGUCUGCCUCAAACGAGGUACGCACCACCUGUUCAGGUCCAUCCUCGGAGAAAACAUGCCUGUGAUUCAGUUCAUGGGUAUGGGAUCUUCGUCAUUUACUGUGAGCAAAAUAUAGUGUUCAAAGCAGGCUUAUGCCGUUGAAUACAUUAGCAUGGAAUAAUAAAAUAAGACCUUGGUCUAUUCUGUUGGUUUGUACUCCAAGGUAAUGAUUAAUAGGGAUAGUUGGGGGUGUCUGUAUUGUGUUGUCAGAGGUGAAAUUCUUAGAUUUACACAAGACAAACUACUGCGAAAGCAUUCACCAAGGAUGUUUUCAUCA
rnacentral:rRNA from 1 species